rnacentral:tRNA from 1 species
GGGGAGGUCGCAUAGUAUGGACGAGUGCAGCCGCUAAGCGGCUAAGGGGGCCUGCCUCCUUCGAAGGUUCGAAUCCUUCCCUCCCCG